CGAGUGGCGAACGGGUGAGUAACGCGUGAGGAACCUGCCUCAAAGAGGGGGACAACAGUUGGAAACGACUGCUAAUACCGCAUAAGCCCACGGCUCGGCAUCGAGCAGAGGGAAAAGGAGCAAUCCGCUUUGAGAUGGCCUCGCGUCCGAUUAGCUAGUUGGUGAGGUAACGGCCCACCAAGGCGACGAUCGGUAGCCGGACUGAGAGGUUGAACGGCCACAUUGGGACUGAGACACGGCCCAGACUCCUACGGGAGGCAGCAGUGGGGAAUAUUGCACAAUGGGGGAAACCCUGAUGCAGCGACGCCGCGUGGAGGAAGAAGGUCUUCGGAUUGUAAACUCCUGUUGUUGAGGAAGAUAAUGACGGUACUCGACAAGGAAGUGACGGCUAACUACGUGCCAGCAGCCGCGGUAAAACGUAGGUCACAAGCGUUGUCCGGAAUUACUGGGUGUAAAGGGAGCGCAGGCGGGAGAACAAGUUGGAAGUGAAAUCCAUGGGCUCAACCCAUGAACUGCUUUCAAAACUGUUUUUCUUGAGUAGUGCAGAGGUAGGCGGAAUUCCCGGUGUAGCGGUGGAAUGCGUAGAUAUCGGGAGGAACACCAGUGGCGAAGGCGGCCUACUGGGCACCAACUGACGCUGAGGCUCGAAAGUGUGGGUAGCAAACAGGAUUAGAUACCCUGGUAGUCCACACCGUAAACGAUGAUUACUAGGUGU
rnacentral:rRNA from 1 species